CCUUAUCUGCCCACGACUAACGUCGGCAAAAUUACAUUCGAACGACGUUCGGCGUCGCAAAGGCGUUCGCGCCCUGCGGCCCGAUGUCCGUGAGGAAUGC
rnacentral:misc_RNA from 1 species